rnacentral:rRNA from 1 species
AGAGUUUGAUCCUGGCUCAGGACGAACGCUGGCGGCGUGCCUAACACAUGCAAGUCGAACGGAGCAGUUCCUUCGGGGAUUGCUUAGUGGCGAACGGGUGAGUAACGCGUGAGGAACCUGCCUUUCAGUGGGGGACAACAGUUGGAAACGACUGCUAAUACCGCAUAAUACUUUCGAGCGGCAUCGCUUGAAAGUCAAAGCUUUAUGUGCUGAAAGAUGGCCUCGCGUCUGAUUAGCUAGUUGGUGGGGUAACAGCCCACCAAGGCGACGAUCAGUAGCCGGUCUGAGAGGAUGAACGGCCACAUUGGGACUGAGAUACGGCCCAGACUCCUACGGGAGGCAGCAGUGGGGAAUAUUGGGCAAUGGGGGAAACCCUGACCCAGCAACGCCGCGUGAAGGAAGAAGGCCUUCGGGUUGUAAACUUCUUUUACCAGGGACGAAGAACGUGACGGUACCUGGAGAAAAAGCAACGGCUAACUACGUGCCAGCAGCCGCGGUAAUACGUAGGUUGCAAGCGUUGUCCGGAUUUACUGGGUGUAAAGGGCGUGUAGGCGGAGCUGCAAGUCAGAUGUGAAAUCCCGGGGCUCAACCCCGGAACUGCAUUUGAAACUGUAGCCCUUGAGUAUCGGAGAGGCAAGCGGAAUUCCUAGUGUAGCGGUGAAAUGCGUAGAUAUUAGGAGGAACACCAGUGGCGAAGGCGGCUUGCUGGACGACAACUGACGCUGAGGCGCGAAAGCGUGGGGAGCAAACAGGAUUAGAUACCCUGGUAGUCCACGCUGUAAACGAUGAAUACUAGGUGUGGGAGGACUGACCCCUUCCGUGCCGCAGUUAACACAAUAAGUAUUCCACCUGGGGAGUACGACCGCAAGGUUGAAACUCAAAGGAAUUGACGGGGGCCCGCACAAGCAGUGGAUUAUGUGGUUUAAUUCGACGCAACGCGAAGAGCCUUACCAGGAUUUGACAUCCAACUAACGAAGUAGAGAUACAUUAGGUGCCCUUCGGGGAAAGUUGAGACAGGUGGUGCAUGGUUGUCGUCAGCUCGUGUCGUGAGAUGUUGGGUUAAGUCCCGCAACGAGCGCAACCNCUAUUGUUAGUUGCUACGAAAGAGCACUCUAGCGAGACUGCCGUUGACAAAACGGAGGAAGGCGGGGACNACGUCAAAUCAUCAUGCCCCUUAUGUCCUGGGGCUACACACGUAAUACAAUGGCGG